rnacentral:rRNA from 1 species
UGAUGCAGCAACGCCGCGUGAGGGAUGACGGCCUUCGGGUUGUAAACCUCUUUUAGUAGGGAAGAAGCGACUGAGUUUACUCUGAGUGACGGUACCUGCAGAAAAAGCACCGGCUAACUACGUGCCAGCAGCCGCGGUAAUACGUAGGGUGCAAGCGUUGUCCGGAAUUAUUGGGCGUAAAGAGCUCGUAGGCGGUUUGUCGCGUCUGCUGUGAAAUCCCGAGGCUCAACCUCGGGCUUGCAGUGGGUACGGGCAGACUAGAGUGCGGUAGGGGAGAUUGGAAUUCCUGGUGUAGCGGUGGAAUGCGCAGAUAUCAGGAGGAACACCGAUGGCGAAGGCAGAUCUCUGGGCCGUAACUGACGCUGAGGAGCGAAAGCAUGGGGAGCGAACAGGAUUAGAUA